rnacentral:rRNA from 1 species
AGCAGCCGCGGUAAUUCCAGCUCCAAUAGCGUAUAUUAAAGUUGUUGCAGUUAAAAAGCUCGUAGUUGAAUUUCGGGACUAAUAUGUCGGUCGUACUUUGUACGUACUAGCAUUAUUGGUUUCUCCCUUCUGACGAACCACGAUGUCAUUAAUUUGGUGUCAUGGGAAAUCAGGACUGUUACUUUGAAAAAAUUAGAGUGUUUAAAGCAAGCUCGCGCUUGAAUACAUUAGCAUGGAAUAAUGAAAUAGGACGUUUGAUUCUAUUUUGUUGGUUUCUAGGAUCGACGUAAUGAUUAAUAGGGAUAGUUGGGGGCAUUAGUAUUCAAUUGUCAGAGGUGAAAUUCUUGGAUUUAUUGAAGACUAACUACUGCGAAAGCAUUUGCCAAGGAUGUUUUCAUUAAUCAAGAACGAAAGUUAGGGGAUCGAAGACGAUCAGAUACCGUCGUAGUCUUAACCAUAAACUAUGCCGACUAGG